rnacentral:lncRNA from 1 species
UUUAGGGUUGAUGUUUUAGGGUUUAGAGUUGAUAUUUUAGGUUUAGAUUUUAAGGUUUAGGGUUUAGGGUUGAUGUUUUAGAGUUUAGAUUUUAAGGUUUAUGAUUUAGGGUUUAAAGUUGAUGUUUCGGGGUUUAGGGUUUAUAGUUGAUGAUUUAGGGUUUAGGGUUGAUGUUUUAGGGUUUAGGGUUUACUUAACCAUAAGUUUUUUUUUGUUAAAGUUAAUCAAAUAGUUAUAAAUGUCUUUUCUCUUUCAUUAAAAAUGAAGGUAAAAUUGGUUAGUGUAAACAUGAAAAGUAGUAUUUUUGACAAUUUCUCAUUUUUGUAAGGAUUAAAAAGAUAAACGAAAAAAUAUUUAAAAAUCAAAAAUGUAAUAUACAAUUGUAAGGACCAAAAUGCAAAUAAAAAUAUUAAACUUCAAAUUUGAAUUUUGUGAAU